CCUACGGGUGGCUGCAGUGGGGAAUAUUGGACAAUGGGCGAAAGCCUGAUCCAGCCAUGCCGCGUGUGUGAAGAAGGCCUUCGGGUUGUAAAGCACUUUCAGUGGGGAAGAAAGCCUUGGGGCUAAUACCCUCGAGGAAGGACAUCACCCACAGAAGAAGCACCGGCUAACUCCGUGCCAGCAGCCGCGGUAAUACGGAGGGUGCGAGCGUUAAUCGGAAUUACUGGGCGUAAAGCGCGCGUAGGCGGUCUGAUAAGCCGGUUGUGAAAGCCCCGGGCUCAACCUGGGAACGGCAUCCGGAACUGUCAGGCUAGAGUGCAGGAGAGGAAGGUAGAAUUCCCGGUGUAGCGGUGAAAUGCGUAGAGAUCGGGAGGAAUACCAGAGGCGAAGGCGGCCUUCUGGACUGACACUGACGCUGAGGUGCGAAAGCGUGGGUAGCAAACAGGAUUAGAUACCCUUGUAGUC
rnacentral:rRNA from 1 species